rnacentral:rRNA from 1 species
UACGGAGGGUGCAAGCGUUAAUCGGAAUUACUGGGCGUAAGCGCACGCAGGUGGCUGAGUCAGUCGAUUGUGAAAGCCCUGGGCUUAACCUGGGAAUUGCAGUCGAUACUACUCAGCUAGAGUAUGGGAGAGGGCAGUGGAAUUCCGGUGUAGCGGUGAAAUGCGUAGAUAUCGGGAGGAACAUCAGUGGCGAAGGCGGCUGCCUGGCCCAAGCUA